UAGGGAAUAUUGGUCAAUGGGCGAAAGCCUGAACCAGCCAUGCCGCGUGCAGGAUGACGGCCCUAUGGGUUGUAAACUGCUUUUGUACGGGAAGAAUAAGCUCUACGUGUAGAGUGAUGACGGUACCGUAAGAAUAAGGAUCGGCUAACUCCGUGCCAGCAGCCGCGGUAAUACGGAGGAUCCAAGCGUUGUCCGGAUUUAUUGGGUUUAAAGGGUGCGUAGGCGGCCCGUUAAGUCAGUGGUGAAAGUUUGCGGCUUAACCGUAAAAUUGCCAUUGAAACUGAUGGGCUUGAGUAUGGUUGAGGUGGGCGGAAUGUGUCAUGUAGCGGUGAAAUGCUUAGAUAUGAUACAGAACACCGAUUGCGAAGGCAGCUCACUAAACCAUAACUGACGCUGAGGCACGAAAGCGUGGGGAUCAAACAG
rnacentral:rRNA from 1 species